GUGGUGUGGGGUGCCCAUCAUCAUGGAGGGUGCCCACUGUCGUGGGGUCUCCGUUGUCACUGGGGGUCCCCAGCAUCACAGGGGGGUCCCUUUGUCACACGGCCUCCAAAUCCCUCCCGGGACGGGGACUCCACCCCUGCCCUGGCAGCUGGGCCGGGCCUGCACUGCCCUUCCCAGGAAGGAAUUGUCCCAAUGUCCACCCUGAGCCUGCCUGGCCCAGCCUGAGCUGUUCCCUCUCCUCCUGUCCCUGUUCCCUGCGAGCAGAUCCCGACCCUCCCGGCUGUCCCCUCCUGCCAGGGACUUGUGCAGAGCCAGAAAUUCCCCCUGAGCCUCCUUUGCUCCAGGCUGAGCCCCUUCCCAGCUCCCUCAGCCCCUCCUGGGGCUCCAGAUCCUUCCCUGAACACACCCCAGCCUCUCCUGGGCUCUCCAGGAUUCCAGGGGGUCCCUCAGGAAGGCCAGAACAGGGGACAAUCCCUGCCCAGGGGGACAAUCCCUGCCUUGGGGGACAAUCCCUGCCCUGGGGGACAAUCCCUGCCCAGGGGGACAAUCCCUGCCCUGGGGCUGUGCCCACACUGGGGCUGGCACAGCCCAGGGGCCAUCGGCCUCCUGCCCCCCUGAGCACCCCUGGGCCCCCCUGGGCCCCCCUGGCCUCGUGUCCAGCCCCUGUCACAGCGCCCCCAGGGCCUUUCCCAGGUUCCCAGCCCCCGUGCCCAGUCUGGAGCGUUCCGUGGGGCUGCUGUGACCCUCAGGUGUCCCCAGCCCGUGGAUCCGGAUCCCCCUGCAGAGCCUCCCGAGCCCAGCACAGGCACAUCCCCCGCCAGUGUCACCUGAGCACAGGCAGACAGGUGUCCCCGACCCCCGGAGCGCCGGUGAAGGGGUCAAACCCCCAAAACUGAGCCCAGGGGUGCUCCCACACCGCCCCCUCCGCCGUGUGUGGGUACAGAUCCAGGUGUCACCCGCGCGUGUGUGGACGUGAAUACACGGCUCUGCACACACCCACGGGCACUCACACCCACGGGCACUCACACCCAGGGGCACUCACACCCAGGGGCACUCACACCCAGGUGCUCUCACACCCAGGUGCUCUCACACCCAGGUGCUCUCACACCCAGGGGCACUCACACCCACGGGCA
rnacentral:lncRNA from 1 species